GGCCUGAAACAUUUUGCCGGCCACGGUUUCGUGUGUUAGUGCUUGAUGUUCUGGCCAUCCUUCCAAUUGCUGUCGCACUUUUCUUCAUUGAUUGGUGUGCGGUAUUGGAUCUUUUACUUUGAAAAAAUUAGAGUGUUUCAAGCAGGCUUUAUGCUAUGAAUACAUUAGCAUGGAAUAACGAUCUAGGACUUUGGUUCUAUUUUGUUGGUUUCUAGGACUGAAGUA
rnacentral:rRNA from 1 species